CCUACGGGGGGCAGCAGUAGGGAAUUUUUCACAAUGGGCGAAAGCCUGAUGGAGCAACACCGCGUGCAGGAUGAAGGCCUUCGGGUUGUAAACUGCUUUUAUAAGCGAGAAAUAUGAUGGUAACUUAUGAAUAAGGAUCGGCUAACUACGUGCCAGCAGCCGCGGUCAUACGUAGGAUCCGAGCAUUAUCCGGAGUGACUGGGUGUAAAGAGUUGCGUAGGUGGCAUAAUAAGUAGCUAGUGAAAUCUGGUGGCUCAACCAUUCAGACUAUUAGCUAAACUGUUAAGCUCGAGACCGUUAGGGGUAACUGGAAUUUCUAGUGUAGGAGUGAAAUCCGUAGAUAUUAGAAGGAACACCAAUAGCGUAGGCAGGUUGCUGGGACGGUUCUGACACUAAGGCACGAAAGCGUAGGGAGCAAACGGGAUUAGAUACCCGAGUAGUC
rnacentral:rRNA from 1 species